CACUGUGUAGCCUUAAUGGCAGGGAAGACCUGACCAUGUUUUAGUCAUGUUACUGAAGAUAGCACAAAUAUUUUACUGCUUCUUUUUUUUUUUUACUUGAUUCCAGUUGUUAUAUUUCAUUACGAUCAUUUAGUGGAGCUUUUAUCCAGUGAAACAUACAAAGCCAUGCGUUUAAGAGUGCACAGGAAAAUGGAGCUACAACAACAUAAACAAGUCUAAAAAAGCACCGGUGAAGUCAACUGCUGUGAUGCAGCGCUGAAGGUCGGCCAGAGCGCAGCCCAAAUGGACUGGGAUGCUGUGACCGACCUCUGGAAGGCUGUCAUCCAAUGUCUUCCUUUACUCGUCUGUUGGCAACCAUCCAUUGCGCGAAAAAUGAGGUCAGCUGCUUCCAAAAGGAUGAAUUCAUUAUUGCUGGAGGACUUCUUUGGAUUCGCAGACACAAACAAGAACUUGGACAGCAUACCUGGAAACCCCUGUCUGCCUUGAAAUUUCUGCCUGGGAGAGACCUUGCUGAUGCAGUAUAACUACCUUGUGUCUUGUUGCUGUGCUCAGUCUUGCCAUGGUGUAUGACUUCUGACAUUAAACUGUCUUCAGUAACCUCACCUUGGAAGCAGAGUUUGGCUGUUCCUCACCCAGUUUUAACCCUCCUAUGCAGCUGUUUCUGUUUCGUUAAUGAUUGUGUUUCAACCUACAUAUUUAUGAUCAUUGGCUCCUGUUUGGUAUAAUUGGU